rnacentral:rRNA from 1 species
AGAGGGGGCCAGCGUUAUUCGGAAUCAUUGGGCGUAAAGGGCGCGUAGGCGGCCAUGCGUGUCUUCCGUGAAAUCCCUCGGCUCAACCGAGGACGUGCGGAAGAAACUGCGAGGCUCGAGUCCAGAAGAGGGGGGCGGAAUUCCCAGUGUAGCGGUGAAAUGCGUAGAUAUUGGGAGGAACACCGGUGGCGAAGGCGGCUCCCUGGGCUGGUACUGACGCUGAGGCGCGAAAGCGUGGGUAGCAAACGGGAUUAGAUACCCCGGUAGUCCACGCCGUAAACGAUGGGCACUUGGUGUCGCGGGUAUCGACCCCUGCGGUGCCGAAGCUAACGCAUUAAGUGCCCCGCCUGGGGAGUACGGUCGCAAGGCUGAA